rnacentral:rRNA from 1 species
CGGUAAUACCAGCUCUCCGAGUGGUAGGGAUGAUUAUUGGGCUUAAAGCGUCCGUAGCCGGCCUGGCAAGUCUUCCGUUAAAUCCAGCAACCUAAUUGUUGGGCUGCGGGGGAUACUGUUAGGCUAGGGGGCGGGAGAGGCCGACGGUAUUCUCGGGGUAGGGGUGAAAUCUUGUAAUCCCGGGAGGACCACCAGUGGCGAAGGCUGUCGGCUAGAACGCG